rnacentral:rRNA from 1 species
AGGACGAACGCUGGCGGCGUGCUUAACACAUGCAAGUCGAGCGGAAAGGCCCUUCGGGGUACUCGAGCGGCGAACGGGUGAGUAACACGUGAGCAACCUGCCCUUAGCUCUGGGAUAGCUCCGGGAAACCGGAAUUAAUACCGGAUACGACCUAGGCCGACAUCGGCCAUGGUGGAAAGUUUUUCGGCUAGGGAUGGACUCGCGGCCUAUCAGCUAGUUGGUGGGGUAAGGGCCUACCAAGGCGACGACGGGUAGCCGGCCUGAGAGGGCGACCGGCCACACUGGGACUGAGACACGGCCCAGACUCCUACGGGAGGCAGCAGUGGGGAAUCUUGCGCAAUGGGCGAAAGCCUGACGCAGCGACGCCGCGUGGGGGAUGAAGGCCUUCGGGUUGUAAACCCCUUUCAGCAGGGACGAAGCGAAAGUGACGGUACCUGCAGAAGAAGCGCCGGCUAACUACGUGCCAGCAGCCGC